rnacentral:lncRNA from 1 species
UGUUUCUGUGUGGAGGAGAAGUUUAUUGUGGGGUUGGAAUGUCUCUGGUCAGAGGGAAAGUUAUCUUGGGGCUGACAUCUCUCUGGCCGGAGGGGAGGUUAUCUUGGGGCAGGCAUAUCUCUGGUCGGGGAGGGUUUAUUUUCGUGUUGGAAUGUUUCUGGUCAGAGAUGUCAUUUGUGGUUUAUGGUCAUGCUGACGUUAGCCAUUAGGCCAAUGCCCUUUGGGGCAGUUUUUGAUUAAGGGGAACUUUAAAAUGCCAGUGCUUGUCCAAGAUGAUGAUACUCCUGCCCUGUCACCUACUCUCUUGUGAUUACCAUUUGCAUGGGAUAUCUUUUUCAUCCCUUCACUUUCAGCCUAUGUGUGUUCUUAAAUCUAAACCUCUCAUAAGCCGUAGCAUGUCCUGAAUCUUACUGGCUUCGGUGAGUCUGCUUUUGCAUUUGUUUAGGAUACAGGAGUCUUUCAAUUAGCCUUUGAAUUUCUCACAAAGGGAAUUUGUCCAUGAUUGUUACUAAACUGGUGUUCAUGUGUGGGACAGGGGGGAAGCCUGGGGGAAGACCAGGGUUUCCUACUCUGUCAUCUUGCUGACUUCACUUCUCCACUCAUGUAUCUUUCAUCAGCCAGUUUCUUACUGUGUUAUGGCUCCACUCUGGUAUAUCCACCCACCAUUCUUCUAUGACUCCUUGAACCCUUCAAGCUAAGUCUUCUGGAACUCAGAACCUAUUAUUAGCAAAAUAUCUUAUAGCCUUCUCCAAAUGUUGCCUUUAUGUAUGAAUUUGAAGCAUGUCUUCCUAUUGAGACCUUGACUUGUUUUAUGUCUCCAUUAAGAGGUGACCAGUUUUUUUUUUCUCCCACACUACAUUUAUCCCUGUUUCUGUAGAUAGGAUAAUGUCAUUCUUGCCUCUUCUCAAAUACUUGAUUUUUUUUCUCUCCAUAAAAGGCAUUAACUACUCUCAUGCCAUUUGAUUUUACCAUCUGCUAUACCUUUGUUUAUUUUUAAAUGAUGUUUAAAAAUUACUUUAGAAAUUAUUUUAAGCAGAAAAAAUUGUGUAUAUUUACCAUGUACAACGUUUUGAAAUAUAUAUUCAUUGUAGAAUGGUUAAGUCAAGCUAAUUAACAUGUACAUUACUUCAUAUAGUUGUCAUAUGGUUAAACUCUACUCCUUAGCAUUUUUCAAGAAUACAAUAUGGUUAACUGUAGCCACCAUGUCUCUUUCUAUUAAAAUAAUCUAUAGGAUGCAGGUUACUCCCCUUUUAUUCUUUGAAGAUUUUAACCCUUGAGUCACUGCAUCCUCACCACUGUUACUUUUAUCUUUAAACUUAUUAAUUUUAUUAUCCAUGUUUGUAGAUGGUUUAUCUAAAUCCUUCACUCUCAUCUCUUUAUUUUUUUAAUCCAUAUAAUAAUCUUAUCCUAAAAUGCACUUUAAUUAUCAAUUCUCUAGAUAUUAGUUUUUCCUAUAACAGCACUUCUCCUCAUCUCAAACAUCUCUUCUGAUGUCUCUUCUUCUAAUCUUCUGACCCUUCCAGUCCAGUUAUAUUACCACGUUUAUAUUAUCUAUCAUCCCCUUAUGUUCUCACCUUCCACCUUUCUCAACUGAAUUUUCAUUCAAUUUCUUUACCUGCAACCUCCACUCUGCUUUCCUACUAGAAUGCUAACCUAUUAGAAUCCAACCUUUGCACCAAAAUUAAACAGAAAGAAUAUAACUCAUCAUGUGAACAUGUUAUUAAUGUCUGAUGAAUGAAUGAUGCAACAAGUGAUAGUUUGACCAGAAGUACAUAUUUAUUCAGCAAAUAUUUUUAGUGUCUAUUUUAUAGAGACAAAUAACUCCAUUCCUUCUAAGUAAAUGUAUAGGACAGAGAAUCCACCAAAAUAUACAGCCUGUAUGGUCCUCAAACAUUUCCAUGCUCUGUAUCUAUGGAGAAAAGAAAAACGUAAGGAGGUUGUAUCAUUUCCUGAGGAGCAUUCAGUUGAGUGUGGGCAGCAGAGUGAGCUUAUGCAGGGUCAGGAAACUUUGUGAAAGGCCAGAUGGUAAUUAUUUUAGGUUUAUAUGCCAUGUGGUCUGUCAUGACUAAUCAGCACACAAAGGCAGCCAUAGCCAAUGUUAAUAAUAAGUGUGGCCAUGUGCCAAUAAAGCUUCAUUUACAAAAUUAAGUGUAAGGCUAGAUUUGGUUUUAGGUGUGUGAUUAGUUGACCAUUGUGUUGAAGGAAGCCCAAUUAGCUGUGAAGUGAAAUGUCGCUUUUAGAGAUAGCUGUCCUACAAAUAAACAAAGCUUAUUGACUUUUCUGGGAGUGAAUAUCUGAAAUUGGAGAGUCCGCUACAGAAUAGGCAUGCUACGCCACAGUUUUGUCUUGGUGUGAGGACAUGCCAUGUGGAUUGUCUCAGAUGUAGGAAAAGCCUUGUAGAGAAUUUAAAUUGCAGGGGCCCUUGGAGAGUGGGUUAAUGCCAUCUAGUACUGGUCAUAAGUGGUGAACUCUUACCUGUGCUGCAGGGGGCGAUAUACUCAGCAACCACAGACUCAUCUGAAAGAUAACGUUGGGUGAAGGAAGAAACGAAAGAUCUAUGAACUAGGGACCAUGCUAAAUCUGUCUAGUCACUUUACUACUGGAGAAAAGCACGCCCUAUCAGAAUUGUCAAAACUUCAUGUAAAUAGACAAGAAUUAAACAGGAUCAUUAACAUAUUUAUAUUCUCUUUCCCUGAGACUGGAGAUGGGGACUGAAGCCUGUUCAGAUGGCAGCUGUUCAAAUUUUAAAUUCUUGGGAAGAUGAUCAUAAUUGCACUAACCUGUAGUUCUCUCUUCCAUGACCUCUCUGCUUCUAUUCACUUUGUUCAGCUUGCUCCCUUAAUUACUUUUCAAAGAUUAUUGUUCCAGCUUGAAACACUCCUCCUACUUCUAUAGACCCCCAAAACUCCACUCAUCCUCUAGGAUCCAAAUCAGAUCUUUCUUCCUGUUUGUUCUUCCUGAGCACCAGCCUUCUGUGCUGUUUUUGCCUCUCAAACUUAUUGCUUAGCUCACUAACACUCAUUUGUCACUAAUAGUCUUUCCUGUUAUGUAAUAUUUUUAUCUGUAUUAUGUUAUCUAUGUCUCUAAACUACUUGAAAGCAGUGACUAUAUAUUAUCAUUCUUUUUAAUUCUUAAGUUUCUGACUCAAGAAACACUAAUUGAUAAAUUUGUUCAGUAAGUUUUUGUUUUGUUUUGUGUUGUUUUUUCUUUUUUUUGAGACGGAGUCUCGCACCGUCACCUGGGCUGGAGUGCAAUGGCGUGAUCUCAGCUCACUGCAACCUCUGCCUCCCAGGCUUACACGAUUCUCCUGCCUCAGCCUCCAUAGUAGCUGGGAUUACAGGCACACACCACCACACCCAGCUAAUUUUUUGUAUUUUUAGUAGAGAUGGGGUUUUGCUAUGUUGGCCAGACUGUAGUAAGUCGUUUUUAUAGUGUACAUCUUGGAGGAAAGAAACAAAAGAUUAAUGUUGACUAAGUGGGCUAAGAAGAGGAUCAACUGUCACAACAGGAUCCAUUUCUUGGCUCUGGUUAAGAUUGUUUCAUUUUUCUUUCACUCACCUGUCUCAUAGUAAUCAUAGACUUUAACAAUUGCUGGCUUCAAGUCUCCUACUGGGAUGUCUUGCAGAACCAUGAAGGAAAAACUUAGCGUCUGAUUUGUCACCUGAAAGGAAAAGUGGGAGUAAUCAAGAACCUAGAAAACCUCCUUCUUUCUCCCAUGAGCAAAACAUAUUCUUAUUGUUCUUUGACUCUUUUUCACCAGUGUCUUUAGGUGACCAGACAUUUGUGGAUGUCAAGAUGGGUUUUAGAAUGCAUCCUUGGGAACUCUAUUUACAGUCAACAAAUUUUCACAGAUUUUCUUCUAAACAACUGAGCCAACCCUAUUCUUUUGUAGUCCCUUGUUAUGAGAUUAACUCUCUGGGCCCAUGUGAAUGUGUUCUAAGCUGGAGAAACAUGGUUUCAUACAAUCUGUAAUUAAAACAACGAAGUAUUCUUUCUGUUUGGAUACAUAAAACAUUUUCUUUGUUUUAUGGUCAUAUUUGAUAAUAUUCAUAAAAUCCUCAUUUUAUUUUAUGGUGACAUUUUAGAAUGUUAACAUUAUCAUUAGGCAACCACUGGGGUCAUAUUUAUUCAUUUUGUGGAGGUGGUCUUUAAAAUAACAGGAAUGCAUGAUAACCUUUAGUCCUAUUGAUUUAUCACUUCAAGUUUAAUAUUUAUUCAUAUCGUCAGGGAGUGGGGCCUUUAAAACAACAGGAAUACAUGGUACACCUUUUUUCUAUUGAUUUUGUACUUUAAAUUUCAUAGAAAUAUUCAUAUUCCAAUUUUAACACAAUUAAAAAUAGAACAGAACACUACAUGGAGUUCAAAGGUUUCCCCUCUUAUUCUUCUUGGAAUAGAUAAACCUUUCUGGAAGGGCAUUACUAAUGAUUGUUUUCCUCAUGUUACCGACUAUUCUAGUAAAGAGACUCACUUAGAAAGACGACCCAUAUGUAGUCUCAGCCAGGAUGUCAGAGCCCUCACCUGUUCCACAUAAAUGAGGACAUGGUUGUUGCUCACUUCUGUCCGGCUCACAGAGCUAGAUCUUUCAAGCUGGAGAGAAUUAGAAAACUUCAGUUAAAGUUAGAGAACAGAUGUGAGAAUGGUGUGAGAUCUAGAGCAGAUUGUAAUAAGGGACAAAUGGUCAUUCUCUGAAGAGAAGAAAGCUAAUUGUUUUCAGGUCAGGAGUUCCACAAUUCUUCAAUAUCCAAGUAACACAUUAGAGCCUCUGGCAUCUUUGAUAAUUUUAGUUCACGUUGAUUUUUUUUCCUUCCCAAAUUUUUAGUGCAUAUCAGUCAGUUUGGGAUUUAAACCAUAUCCUAUCUUUCUUGGGUGGUUUUAUUGUUUUGUGCCCAUGUGCUUUAAAUUCCUGACUAAACUAUGAGUGGCCUAAGGAUAGGUACUCCUUGUGCAUUUCUCUGGUAUCACAUAUGUCCCUUAGCUUACGGCCAACUAAAUAGUUCAUUUACUUCCUGGGUUUGGGAAAAAUAUUUUUUUGAGGCAGGAUGAUGUUGACAUGGUUUUGAUAUUGGUAUGGUCUUAGUUUGGGGAUACAGAACAUACUUUUGUAUGAAGUCUAUUAGGAUUAAAAUACACCUACCAUUUUUACUGUUGGUUUCAGGGGAAUAAAACCAGAUACCAUCUUUACAUCAACAAUCACCAUAUUGGAAGCAGGACGGUUUCCUGUGUAACUGUAGUGUCAAAGGAAAAAGAAUUUAGGGUUUUAUACGUGAAAGAAAGCCAAAUUUCUGCUUUCAAGCAUCACUUUAAGCCUGUCUGUCUUCAAGAAGUUGUCCCUAAUAUUCUACAAAGGUCUGUGUUCCCUGGACUUGUGCAACACUGACAUUGGACACAUGCAUAUACAUCAGAUCUACCACUUGCUAAAAUUACAGAUGUUUAAGCAUCACCCCAAAACUAUCAAAUCAAAAUCUUUGGUAGUGAAUCUUGCUAAUUGGCAUUUUUAACAUAUCUAUGGUUUUUGCACACCUCACUAUACAGUUCAUUUGUUAUUUAGUAUAUAUUACUUUUAUAUUUUUAGUAGAGAAAGGAUCACGUCAUAAUGAUAAAAGCCUAAAUUCAUUUAUAGAUAUAUCAAUUCUAAAUUAUAUUAAUCUAAUAACAUAGCUUCCAAAUGGACUAUUAAUUUCUGUUAAUUCCAAGUUGCUUUUGGGCCAAAGAUAGGUGAUUAGGUUAGAACGUCUUACCUGAUGGUCAGUGAGAUCUGAAAGCUGGUGUGGGCUUUGUGUCCAUCGCAAGUUUGGGGCACAGUCUGCACUUUUAAAGCAAAUGGGGAGUCCUCUUUCUCUGGAAGAAUAUUGUAUUUCAUGGAUGUCUGUGAAACAGCAAAGACACUAUCAGUUUCUCUCUUUUUCUGGACCCCUCACUUCCUCAUUACUUAACGUCUCCAGAGGUGCCUUUUACUUUCCCAGGAAGGAAGGAACAGAGUUUCCAUUUCAAUUGGCAAGUUUAAAGUUGACUCUCACCCAUAUAAGCUUGGAGCCCUACCUGAAGAUACACACAUCUUUCCCCAGUUACUGUUAUGACAUAUUCUCCAGGGAGCUCUGGCA